rnacentral:lncRNA from 1 species
UUGCCUGCUCACUGGAGGGGCAGGGGAAGAAGCAGAAGCAACAGCCAUUUGAGGGUUGACUGGCUCUAAGGAAAAGCUGUUUGCUGGCAGACACAGGUGGCUGGUGACAAAGGGAACAGAGCAGGGGAAUGGAUAGCUCAAAACGAGCCUCGCCACUCCUGAACAGAACAGCAAUCCCAGCUGUGUCCUUUCGAGGGUGAGUGAAAGCACAUGCUGUCCUUUACAUGCUUGAGGCGGACUUGCCUGUCUCUUCAGGCCGGAUGCUCUUCAGGGCCCUGUGGGGCUUAAACACAUGUACUGAGCUAGCUCCAAUCUUAAUCUGCACAACAUCGCAACCCCUGAGUUCCUAUUAGUUCUGCAAAACAAAGCAAAACAAAUCCCCACCAAAAUUUCAGAUUUGUAGCAUCUGCUAAAACCAAAAGGCACAAUCAACUUCUUGUCCUCUCUGGGUUACUGGGCAGGCGAUAUAGAAGGAACCAGUAUCUGUGGCCAGAGUCCUCUAUCGGGUGCAGCUGGGCUCCAGGCCUCUCUAGCUGCCAAGCCCUCCCAGGAACCUGCCUCGCCCUUCACUUUGGGAAGGGACCUUGGCCCUUGGGGAAAUGCAUUGUUGCCAGACUGUAGCCUUCUGGAGGGGACUGAGCCAAGGCCCCAUUGGCUCUCCUCUCUAAGCUUCUUAUUAAUGGGCUCUGAGGCCAAUGCCUUCCUCCAGGGGUUGGGGAGGUGGGUGGAAGAGCUAAGUUGCUGGCUGAGGUCACUGCUGUAACUUGGCUCUUCGUAUCUGCUUUGUGUACAGGCAAAACUGGCUUACAGAAGAAAAAGGCAGGAACACCUGCAUUGGGCCCUGGCCCUUGGAGGUGCUCUGGGGGCUCGUGCCAGUGUCAUGAGGUAUAUGUGGCCGCGGCCCCUUUUGGGCAUGUGGCUUGGGUUUGCCGAGGGUCAGGAGGGCAAGGUCCUACCUUGGUCCCAGUGUGGAUCGCUCUGAGAGACCACAGCUCCCUCCUCUGGAGUCCCCUCUCCGAGCUCUCCAAGGGAAAAGACAAAGGAAGCCGAACUGCCAAGUUGAAGAUUUUGCCUCAGGCAACUAAAUUUAUUAGCAAGAAAAAAUUUUUGUCAGCCCAGUGCUGACCAACAAAGUACGUUAAUAAAGGAUAACAAAUCUGUCACUUAAUUCAUAAAACAUACCUCAAGCAGUUACAACUAAAAAUAAAGUUGGAUUUUUGUUUAAUUUAAAAGCCUCAAAAAUAACAAGCAAUGUGUUUUUAAACAUGUAGUAGACACAAUUGUCUAUUAUACAAUAUACACUGUACACAAGUAGAGCUUGGGCCGGGCAGGGGUGAGGUGAAGGGAGAGGGAGGAGGUGCAGGAUGUGCAGGUGCUGUUAUCUGAAUCCAGAUUUGAGUUUAAAUGCUGUGUCAUUUAGAAAAGGGAAUUGCUAGAGUGAGAAAAAAUUCAUAUGCUCAUCAUUGCCCCCAACCCUCAACUGAAAGCAGGCAUCAGGGAGGUGAAUAACAAGGAAAGGAAGAAGGGAGCAAUUAAAUAAAACUUCUUUAAAGCACA